UGACGGUACUUGACUAAGAAGCCCCGGCUAACUACGUGCCAGCAGCCGCGGUAAUACGUAGGGGGCAAGCGUUAUCCGGAUUUACUGGGUGUAAAGGGAGCGUAGACGGCAAUUUAAGUCUGAAGUGAAAGCCCCGGGCUCAACCCGGGAACUGCUUUGGAAACUGGAUAGCUAGAGUGCAGGAGAGGUAAGUGGAAUUCCUAGUGUAGCGGUGAAAUGCGUAGAUAUUAGGAGGAACACCAGUGGCGAAGGCGGCUUACUGGACUGUAACUGACGUUGAGGCUCGAAAGCGUGGGGAGCAAACAGGAUUAGAUACCCUG
rnacentral:rRNA from 1 species